rnacentral:rRNA from 1 species
CGUGGCUAACCUGCCCUUGGGACGGAAGCACCCCCGGGAAACUGGGGCUAAUUUCCGAUAGGGGAAGACUCCUGGAAUGGAUUUUCGCCUAAAAGGCGCUUAGGGCAUGCUUCUAGGUGUUGCCCAAGGAUGGGGCCGCGGCCGAUCAGGUUGUUGGUGAGGUAAUGGCUCACCAAGCCUUUAACCGGUACGGGCCGUGGGAGCGGUAGCCCGGAGAUGGGCACUGAGACAAGGGCCCAGGCCCUACGGGGCGCAGCAGUCGCGAAAACUUCGCAAUAAGCGAAAGCUUGACGGGGCCAUCCCGAGUGCCAUCUGCUGAGGAUGGCUUUUACCCAGUAUAGAUAGCUGGGGGAAUAAGGAGAGGGCAAGUCUGGUGUCAGCCGCCGCGGUAAUACCAGCUCUCCGAGUUGUAGGGAUGUUUAUUGGGCCUAAAGCAUCCGUAGCCGGCUGGACAAGUCCUCUGUUAAAUCCAGCGACCAAUCGUUGGUCUGCGGGGGAUACUGUCCGGCUAGGGGGCGGGAGAGGCCGUCGGUAUUCUUGGGGUAGGGGUGAAAUCCUAUAAUCCCAGGAGGACCACCAGUGGCGAAGGCUGUCGGCUAGAACGCGCCCGACGGUGAGGGAUGAAAGCUGGGGGAGCGAACCGGAUUAGAUACCCGGGUAGUCCCAGCUGU